UGUAAAAAGCAAAACAAAGGAAACUUUGUGACGCAAAACUACAGGGACUUAGUUAUAUUAGACAAUGUCAGCCAGUUACCAU
rnacentral:ncRNA from 1 species